rnacentral:rRNA from 1 species
AGAGUUUGAUCAUGGCUCAGAUAACGCUGCGGCAUCCUACACAUGCAAGUCGAACGGCAGCACGGGAGCUUGCUCCUGGUGGCGAGUGGCGAACGGGUGAGUAAUACAUCGGAACGUACCCAGGAGUGGGGGAUAACGUAGCGAAAGUUACGCUAAUACCGCAUAUUCUGUGAGCAGGAAAGCGGGGGAUCGCAAGACCUCGCGCUCUUGGAGCGGCCGAUGUCGGAUUAGCUAGUUGGUGAGGUAAAAGCUCACCAAGGCGACGAUCCGUAGCAGGUCUGAGAGGAUGAUCUGCCACACUGGGACUGAGACACGGCCCAGACUCCUACGGGAGGCAGCAGUGGGGAAUUUUGGACAAUGGGGGCAACCCUGAUCCAGCCAUGCCGCGUGAGUGAAGAAGGCCUUCGGGUUGUAAAGCUCUUUCGGCGGGGAAGAAAUGGCAACGGCUAAUAUCCGUUGUGAUACGGUACCCGCAUAAGAAGCACCGGCUAACUACGUGCCAGCAGCCGCGGUAAUAC